UCCUCUUAAUAGAAAAACAAUGAAAGUAUCACAUGCAGCCGCAAUCUCCGUCCAUGUUCCUAUACUAUAAUUUCUUAUAGUAUUUGAUGUGACAAUAAAUAAUAGUGUUACAUAGUUUCAAAACGAUAACAAGUGUUUUGUAAGUAGAAAUUCGGAUUGUGUCGUGAAGAAAAAUAAUAGCAUCUGUGUUCAUUUUAUUUAUCAAAAAUAAGGAUACGGACACAAUAUUGGUGCAUUCUUUUUAAUUUAUCAAUCAAAUUAGGCACUAAAAUAGAUAGAGAUAAAGCAAGAAAAUGGGAAUCUGGUUCAGCAAAAAAAGAAAAUGUUUGUUUCUUUAAUUAAAUCAUCAACAAAGGAAAUAAACUAGGCCAUAAGGAAUACAAGAAGACAAAACACAGAUCGAUAUCUACAUAACGGAUCCAAUCAUCAUCCAAAACAGAAACGAGCCGUCAUCAACGCCCUAGUGUCAACAGAGCUUUGAUAUAUGGAGAAAGGUACGUCGACGACGAAAUAAAAAAAAUAGCAACUGUUUUACAAGCGAACGACCUCGGCAGAAAAGACAAUCCGCGCUACGCGUCCAAGGGAGAAAAAAAACACCAUUGACGAUCAUCCCCAAGGCACUGUCUAUGUGACACACACAGAAGGUGUCACCAAUCGAGUCAGGAAAAUUCUAAAGAAGGAGAAAAUUAACACCGUUUUCAAACCAACGGAAUAUCGCAGUAUCUGAGACCAGCGAAAAACAUCAGACAUCCAUUCAAAUCAGCGGGAGUUUACAGGAUUCCAUGUAACUGGACAUGUAACUGUGGUAAAGUCUAUAUCGGUCAGACGAAAAGAAGCAAAGAUUAAAUAUAAUUAUAUCUAAUUGUUCCAACAUUAGUAACCACCGCCGUUGACUCGUUUAUUUUGAAAUGAAAAAACUAACUAGUUUGGAAAGUCAAUUUGAUGCUGUUGGUGUAGUCGAAGUAAUCUUUAUUAUGAAUACUUGAAGCUAUCGGCGCCCUCAAAGGAAAUAAAACCAAUACAAAGAGAUAAAGCCGCUGCCAGCUAGUCCACUUGGAUUGAAGAAUUGUCUGUUCGUAAUGGAUGAUUUUUACUAACCGAGUUUUAUGAUUGGCGAGCCGCCGUGUUGUCAAUGUUCAGUCCAGGAAAUGAUCUUG